rnacentral:snRNA from 1 species
UACUUGUGUUUCUCUUCAGAUCGUAUGAAUCUUUCACCUUUUACUAAAAAUUCCCAUGGGGGGGAAAAAGAAAGGAAAGAAGAAAAGAAAA